AUCGUGGUGGCUGCGCUUGCGAGGACCCUGAGGUAGAUUGGGUGGUUUCAACAGGAACGCAUCCACUGUCUGAGAGGUGGCAAUUGAAGCCGGAAGAACAUCUACCAAGAGCAGAGAACCCAGGAAGAAAAUUCUGCCUCUUUAAUACGUUCCAAUAUGGACGUUUUCCAUAUAGAUACCUAUCUAUAUAGAUAGAUGCUCUGGGAUCUGACGGUCCUGGACACCUGUAUGGCUGUGUGCUGUGGUCUUUGCCUAGCCUGCGGUUCACUUUUGCUCUGGCCACCACCUCCCCUCAUGUACAAACCGCGUCUCUGCUCUGCCAGUCUUGGCCCCCGUCAGGCAGCGGUUCACUCCCUCACCAGGGAAGUCUAGAUAGAUAGAUAUAGAUAGAUAUCGAUCGAUAGAUAUAGAUAUAUAUAUAGAUAGAUAGAUAGGUAGAUAUAUGGAUAGAUAUAGAUAUUUGGAUAGAUAUGUAGACGUCUAUCUAUAAAUAUAUCGAUAUAUCGGGGUUCUCAGCCAUCCCAAAGAAGCUUGCACAGGGCCAGUUGCUUUAUGUCAGGAAAAGGGACACAGACUGAGUGUAUGAGGGUUUUUUUUUUCUAUAGAUGUAUAGAUAUUUAUAUCAGAUGCAAAUAAGUGAAACUCUCAUACAACUUUUAAUUUUGUGUUUUUUCCAAACUCUAUUCCAUUCAACUUUUUCUGCCUUUUUAUUUGAUUAUAAUGAGACAUCGUACUGGAGGCAGGCUUGAAAUGGAUAUACAGAGCACUUUCAACCCAGAAAUUUGUCUCACGACUUGGGGUCCUUACUUAAGUUGUAGCUGUUAGUAAUUUCAUCCAUGAAUUCACUUUGUGCCAUAGUGUGAUGUUUUGUUAUGAAGUUGGAAUUGGGAAGGGAAACUAGGAAGUUUUGGGAGAAGUUAAGAAGGUUGAGUAGGCAGGCGUUGUUAUAGAUAUUAAAUUUCACCCUGCUUAUCAAAGUACCUGGAGCGUAUGGUAUCCAAGCUGUAAAUGGCCCAAAGGAAUCGGGGUUCUCAGCCAU
rnacentral:lncRNA from 10 species